CUCCCUGGUCAGUUCAGCCAUUACCAGGAGAAAGAUCAAUCCAUUCCUGGAGCUCUCCAUGCUGAUCAGAGACCCUCCUACCAGGCCCCAUCUCCCAGCACUACUGUCUGUAAAAUUCAGGAUCCAGACACGUGUCUUUAGGGGAUGCACCCAGCCACAGAAUGCAGUUUGGAGAAAGUGAAAGCACAGAUGCCACGGUCAGUGACCGUCCUAGCCACUGCCUCGUCACAAGCACCCUAGCCUAGGUUACCUGGGUGCUCACCCAUGGAUGCUACGCUCUCUAGGACACACAGAAAAGAUGUGACUCAAGCAAGCACAAUGACGCCUUGCACCAAGACACGGAAUGCAUGCUGUAAAGGAGCAGGGAUUGAGGAUGAUGGCCGAUCUAUUUGUGCCUCGUCAAGUCUGGAGACUAGCCUUGGCAGGUCCUAGACAGAUCAAAGACCUCGCUCGGUGGAGAACUGGAAUCUUGGACACCGGCAAGCGGGUGACAGCUAAUGCAGAGACUCAUAACUGGUCAAACGGCUUAGAAAAAGUGACCGUUCUCAGUUCUAAAUGGGACGUCUAUAUCCAUCCCGCCCCAUCCAAAGCUCAGCGAAUGUCUUGGAACAAGGGGGUGGAAAGGAUGAGAGAGCCAGGGAGGAGGAGGACUGUGAAGCGUCAUCUGGAGCAGGAGAGGCUACUCACACUAGACUGAGCCAAUCAACAACAAGGAUCACGGAUAGAGGAGGGGCUCAUGUGACCCAAUUCCUCCCUGUGAAGCUGCUAGCAGUCAGUGGGUGGAGGGUGGUCAUAUUCCUCAUGGUAAAGUCACUCUUUUUUUUUUUUUUUUUUUUUUUUGGUUUUUCGAGACAGGGUUUCUCUG